rnacentral:rRNA from 1 species
AUUGAACGCUGGCGGCAUGCCUUACACAUGCAAGUCGAACGGCAGCACGGGGCAACCUGGUGGCGAGUGGCGAACGGGUGAGUAAUGCAUCGGAACGUGCCAUUGAGUGGGGGAUAACGUAGCGAAAGUUGCGCUAAUACCGCAUAUUCUGUGAGCAGGAAAGCAGGGGACCGCAAGGCCUUGCGCUCUUUGAGCGGCCGAUGUCAGAUUUAGCUAGUUGGUGAGGUAACGGCUUACCAAGGCGACGAUCUGUAGCGGGUCUGAGAGGAUGAUCCGCCACACUGGAACUGAGACACGGUCCAGACUCCUACGGGAGGCAGCAGUGGGGAAUUUUGGACAAUGGGCGCAAGCCUGAUCCAGCCAUG